rnacentral:rRNA from 1 species
AUGGAGCUCAAUGUUCACCUCCGUGAUACUGAUGGUGACCCUUUGUCUGAUCCAACGUGUUAUCGUCAUCUUGUUGGGAGUCCUGUCUAUCUAGCUACUACUCGUUCGGAUAUCUCUUAUCCAGUCCAUAUUUUGAGUCAGUUUGUCUCUGCUCCCACUUCGGUUCACUACAGUCACCUUCUUCGUGUUCUCCGCUAUCUUCGUGGCACCAUCUCUCACCGUCUGUUCUUUCCUCACUCCAAUUCGUUACAACUUCAGGCUUAUUCGGAUGCUACGUGGGCUAGUGAUCCAUAG